rnacentral:snoRNA from 1 species
AAUCCAUGUUGUGAGCAUUGACGAAGUAACCCCUUGUAUCGUUCCCAAACCUCUGAAUAGUAUUCUAAGUCCAUUUGUUGGAAAGUAGUGGUCUCAUCCCUUAGCUU